CCUGAACCUCGGGAUUGCCUGGUCCACAACUGGGUUUGAACAGGUCAACUGAAUCCCACCUAGAUGUCCUGCCAGCAAAUCCCGCAGCCUUGCCAGCCUCCUCUCAAAGGACCCACGACCAAGUGUCCCCCAAAAUGUCCCCCUAGGGGCCCUCCCAAGAUGCCCUGCUCCAGUCUCUUCCUGCUGUGGCCUUAGCCCCAGGGCUGCAGUGGCCUCAGCACACUGGUACAGCAGAGCUCCAGCUGUUGCCACAGCUUUGGGGCUGCUUCCUGCCUCGCCUCUGAGAAUCAGCUGAAGACCAGCCCCAGUCCUGCGCUUCUUGGCCCUCAGUCUCCUCCAUCCCUUGAUGAGUCUCUCCUGGGGGACAAGACCACCCUGGGGCUCGCUGCAGAAGCAGCCAUCAGCACAGUGACUCUGGCUGGGCUCAGACUCGCUUUCCUGAUAUUCGGAUGUGAUUGCUCUGAAUGAGUCGCUUUGCUACAAUAAAUAUUUUUAAAUUCC